rnacentral:rRNA from 1 species
GUUGGGUGACUGCGUACCUUUUGUAUAAUGGGUCAGCGACUUAUAUUCUGUAGCAAGGUUAACCGUAUAGGGGAGCCGCAGGGAAACCGAGUCUUAACUGGGCGUUAAGUUGCAGGGUAUAGACCCGAAACCCGGUGAUCUAGCCAUGGGCAGGUUGAAGGUUGGGUAACACUAACUGGAGGACCGAACCGACUAAUGUUGAAAAAUUAGCGGAUGACUUGUGGCUGGGGGUGAAAGGCCAAUCAAACCGGGAGAUAGCUGGUUCUCCCCGAAAGCUAUUUAGGUAGCGCCUCGUGAACUCAUCUUCGGGGGUAGAGCACUGUUUCGGCUAGGGGGUCAUCCCGACUUACCAACCCGAUGCAAACUACGAAUACCGAAGAAUGUUAUCACGGGAGACACACGGCGGGUGCUAACGUCCGUCGUGAAGAGGGAAACAACCCAGACCGCCAGCUAAGGUCCCAAAGUCAUGGUUAAGUGGGAAACGAUGUGGGAAGGCCCAGACAGCCAGGAUGUUGGCUUAGAAGCAGCCAUCAUUUAAAGAAAGCGUAAUAGCUCACUGGUCGAGUCGGCCUGCGCGGAAGAUGUAACGGGGCUAAACCAUGCACCGAAGCUGCGGCAGCGACACUAUGUGUUGUUGGGUAGGGGAGCGUUCUGUAAGCCGUUGAAGGUGGCCUGUGAGGGUUGCUGGAGGUAUCAGAAGUGCGAAUGCUGACAUAAGUAACGAUAAUGCGGGUGAAAAACCCGCACGCCGGAAGACCAAGGGUUCCUGUCCAACGUUAAUCGGGGCAGGGUGAGUCGACCCCUAAGGCGAGGCCGAAAGGCGUAGUCGAUGGGAAACAGGUUAAUAUUCCUGUACUCGGUGUUACUGCGAAGGGGGGACGGAGAAGGCUAUGUUGGCCGGGCGACGGUUGUCCCGGUUUAAGCAUGUAGGCGGAUGUUCCAGGUAAAUCCGGA